rnacentral:lncRNA from 1 species
GUGCUUGGAACCCCUAUCAGCUUUCCCUGCCAGGUAGGACAUGCUUCGGUUUCCAGCCGGUUGUUGAAGUUUGUUAGCUCCAGCAAAUUUCUUGCCUGUGUAAACUUGUCUGGCAGGAUCAAACUGUACGGACUGCUUCGAUUUGCUGCUUCCCGCAAACACUUUGAAGUUGAACUUGCUGUAAUCAAAGGGGGUAAACUGCUUCGGUGCUUCCAGCUCCUCUGGUUGCUGGGAGGCUUUUGGCCGUUUCUUCUCUGGUUUUGGCAGUUCUGUUCCUGUUUCACUCAUGACCCUCUCCCUCUUCCUAUUAGCUUGUUCCUGCAUAGCUUGCUGACGAACAGACACAAUGUUUUCUGUUGCUUCUUUGUAUGCCUUCUGGGCCUGGUCACGAGCAGCUGACUGCUGGGCUGCUUUCUUUUUUGCUUCAUCCCUGGAUUCCUUCUGUACUUGUGUCUUACUCAUCAACUUCCAUCGAUUGCUGAUUUCAUAAAUUUUUG